rnacentral:rRNA from 1 species
CUUGGUCAUUUAGAGGAAGUAAAAGUCGUAACAAGGUCUCCGUAGGUGAACCUGCGGAGGGAUCAUUACACAAAUAUGAAGGCGGGCUGGAACCUCUCGGGGUUACAGCCUUGCUGAAUUAUUCACCCUUGUCUUUUGCGUACUUCUUGUUUCCUUGGUGGGUUCGCCCACCACUAGGACAAACAUAAACCUUUUGUAAUUGCAAUCAGCGUCAGUAACAAAUUAAUAAUUACAACUUUCAACAACGGAUCUCUUGGUUCUGGCAUCGAUGAAGAACGCAGCGAAAUGCGAUAAGUAGUGUGAAUUGCAGAAUUCAGUGAAUCAUCGAAUCUUUGAACGCACAUUGCGCCCUUUGGUAUUCCAAAGGGCAUGCCUGUUCGAGCGUCAUUUGUACCCUCAAGCUUUGCUUGGUGUUGGGCGUCUUGUCUCUAGCUUUGCUGGAGACUCGCCUUAAAGUAAUUGGCAGCCGGCCUACUGGUUUCGGAGCGCAGCACAAGUCGCACUCUCUAUCAGCAAAGGUCUAGCAUCCAUUAAGCCUUUUUUUCAACUUUUGACCUCGGAUCAGGUAGGGAUACCCGCUGAACUUAAGCAUAUCAAUAA